rnacentral:rRNA from 1 species
UACGAAGGGGGCUAGCGUUGCUCGGAAUCACUGGGCGUAAAGGGUGCGUAGGCGGCUUUCUAAGUCGGGGGUGAAAUCCUGGAGCUCAACUCCAGAACUGCCUUCGAUACUGGAAAGCUCGAGUCCGGGAGAGGUGAGUGGAACUGCGAGUGUAGAGGUGAAAUUCGUAGAUAUUCGCAAGAACACCAGUGGCGAAGGCGGCUCACUGGCCCGGUACUGACGCUGAGGUGCGAAAGCGUGGGGAGCAAACAGG